UAAUCAAUGUGCAAGUGGUGAAGGAAAGAUUUCAGGUUCAAGUUUCUGGUUCUCAAGUUACUAAUCAUCUUAAGACAUGGAGAACUCGCUGGUCAAACAUAUGCAAUUAUAAGAAGAUUAGCUCAGCCCAUUUUGAUGAGCAAACUGGAACAAUAUUGCUUGAUGAGAAGAACUACUUGGAACGGGUGCAGAAAAACCAUUCGAAGCUAAAUUUUUCAACAAGCCACUUGAGAACUACCAUUACAUGGCUGUCAUAUUUGGGAAUCAACAAGCAACUGGACUGUUUGCAAAAUGCACCAGUGAUCCCCUAGGUUUCGACACAUCUGAAAGUGCAGGUACAUAUGAUGU
rnacentral:misc_RNA from 1 species